rfam:Stegodyphus mimosarum contig40325, whole genome shotgun sequence.
UCCUUCGUGGUGUAAUGGUCAGCACUGAGCCGGUAUUUCAGAGGUCCGUGGUUCGAUUCCCGGCGAAGGAA